GAGAGGACGAGCGCGCCCCAUUUUCUCCGCGGAGCCGCCCCCAGUCCUCCUGACCUCCGCGCCCCUUUAAAUCCUCCGCGGGUCUCCCCGCCCUUCCUGCUGGGAUGGGAGGAGACCUUAGCGGACGGUGCUCUGCCUGUGCGGCCAGAUGAAAGGGGGACUGGGAAAAUGAAGCCAGCUCUUGCCCCAAAAGGAGCCUCUCGGCCUCCCAGGGUGUCUGGGUCAGAAUUGAGACGUUCUGGGCGAGGAGGUGUUGGGAGGGGAGUAGGAGGUCGGAAGGAGAGAGGCCGACCCAGUUAGCUCUGUUCACACCGUCCCUCUCUAGGAGCGGAGCCUACACCUGACUUGUUUGGAAUGUGAGCUUCUGCAGGGGGCAGAGGCCCUGGCACGUAGAAAGUUCUAAACUGUCUGAGCACAAAGAAAGGAUUCAUAUGGGAGCGAAUAGAACAAGUAAAGACGGUCAGCUGUGGUCACAGUGGAGGAACUAGAGAGUUUAGACUUCACCAGCUCUUAGAGCCCUGUUUUCUUUGAAGUGGUUACAGCCGAGUACUUUGGUGUGGCCUAAAGAGUUUGAAGGUAUACAGUUAAAGGACCUGGAAAUAAAACUUGGGCUGGCCACUGGCUUUAGUUAUUGAAACAUCUAUAAAUUGGUAUACAAGUCAUGAUUAGUGUAGUUGCAAUACGGAGUUGGUGGGGUGCUCCAGAUCUGCAAGCUGUAGGAGGUGGGAACAGGACUGAAGGGCUAUGUGCUGAUGAAUCUCCUUCAGCAAAUAUGUCUUCGCUUGGAGCUAAGCGCCCCUCCUACCACCUCCACCACCUGGCGUUUUGUUUAGCACCUGCCAGGUUCUGGGCUAGAUUCGAGGGAUAAGGAGAUGAAUGUGAUUUAGAGGUGGAGAGGGUACAGUCUGGUCAAGCAAAGAAACGUGAACAAAUCAUUACAUCAAGUAGAAAAGUCUGCAAGGAUUCAUUGGCCCAGCAGGUAAAUGGGAAGGGUGGCCCAGGCAGGGGAAGACUGGGAAAACAUGGCUUUGGGGGAGCCACAAGUGCUGCUGAGGAUAGGGUACAGUACAGAGAAGGAAGGGGCAGAGAUGUCCCAGAUGCCAUUGGAGAUUCAGCUUUGCUUUCACUUCCCCAAGGACUCAUGGCCUCCCUAGGGCCCUGGCCAAAGGGGAGACCUGAACUUAGAGAUC
rnacentral:lncRNA from 1 species